rnacentral:rRNA from 1 species
GUAGUCCAUGCUGUAAACGAUGAUUGCUAGAUGUUAGUAUAGAGAGUUAUAUUAGUAUCUGAGCUAACGCAUUAAGCAAUCCGCCUGAGUAGUACGGUCGCAAGAUUAAAACUCAAAGAAAUUGACGGGGACCCGCACAAGCGGUGGAGCAUGUGGUUUAAUUCGAAGAUACGCGAAGAACCUUACCAAGGCUUGACAUAUUACCAGAGAUUAUAAGAGAUUAUGAUUGUCAUUAAGUUGGGGUAAUACAGGUGCUGCAUGGCUGUCGUCAGCUCGUGUCGUGAGAUGUUGGGUUAAGUCCCGCAACGAGCGCAACCCUUACGUUUAGUUGCUAACAGGUAAUGCUGAGCACUCUAGAGGAACUGCUGGUGUUAAACCAGA